ACGCUCGACACCUACGGGAGGCAGCAGUGGGGAAUAUUGGGCAAUGGGCGCAAGCCUGACCCAGCAACGCCGCGUGAAGGAAGAAGGCUUUCGGGUUGUAAACUUCUUUUGUCAGGGAACAGUAGAAGAGGGUACCUGACGAAUAAGCCACGGCUAACUACGUGCUAGCAGCCGCGGUAAUCUGAGCGGGCUGGCAAGGC
rnacentral:rRNA from 1 species